GCAGUUGAGCGCUGAAGUUGGUACUUGUACCGACUGGAUGAGCAGCGAACCGUUGAGUAACGCGUGGGGAAUCUGCCUUUGAGCGGGGGACAACAUUUGGAAACGAAUGCUAAUACCGCAUAAAAACUUUAAACACAAGUUUUAAGUUUGAAAGAUGCAAUUGCAUCACUCAAAGAUGAUCCCGCGUUGUAUUAGCUAGUUGGUGAGGUAAAGGCUCACCAAGGCGAUGAUACAUAGCCGACCUGAGAGGGUGAUCGGCCACAUUGGGACUGAGACACGGCCCAAACUCCUACGGGAGGCAGCAGUAGGGAAUCUUCGGCAAUGGACGAAAGUCUGACCGAGCAACGCCGCGUGAGUGAAGAAGGUUUUCGGAUCGUAAAACUCUGUUGGUAGAGAAGAACGUUGGUGAGAGUGGAAAGCUCAUCAAGUGACGGUAACUACCCAGAAAGGGACGGCUAACUACGUGCCAGCAGCCGCGGUAAUACGUAGGUCCCGAGCGUUGUCCGGAUUUAUUGGGCGUAAAGCGAGCGCAGGUGGUUUAUUAAGUCUGGUGUAAAAGGCAGUGGCUCAACCAUUGUAUGCAUUGGAAACUGGUAGACUUGAGUGCAGGAGAGGAGAGUGGAAUUCCAUGUGUAGCGGUGAAAUGCGUAGAUAUAUGGAGGAACACCGGUGGCGAAAGCGGCUCUCUGGCCUGUAACUGACACUGAGGCUCGAAAGCGUGGGGAGCAAACAGGAUUAGAUACCCUGGUAGUCCACGCCGU
rnacentral:rRNA from 1 species